CGAACGGGUGCGUAACACGUGAGUAACCUGCCCUUCGGCGGGGGAUAGCCGGUCUAACGACCGGGUAAUACCGCGUACGACCUCGAGGUCGCAUGGCUUUGAGGUGAAAGCGGGCGCAAGCUCGCACCGGAGGAGGGGCCCGCGGCCUAUCAGCUUGUUGGUGGGGUAAUGGCCCACCAAGGCGACGACGGGUAGCUGGUCUGAGAGGAUGAUCAGCCACAUUGGGACUGAGAUACGGCCCAG
rnacentral:rRNA from 1 species